rnacentral:rRNA from 1 species
GUACGGCGAGUGAAGAGGGAAAAGCUCAAGUUUGGAAGCUUCGUGGCAUAGCUACGACGCGUUGUAAACUGAAGUUUUUUGGGUGAUUGGGCGACCGGAUAAAUAAGUCCUUUGGAAAGGGGCAACAUAGAGGGUGACAUUCCCGUCUUUGGUCCGAGUCAGUGCAGUCGCUGCCCAGGAAACGACGAGUCAGGUUGUUUGGGAAUGCAGCCUAAAAUGGGAGGUAAAUCUCUCCUAAAGCUAAAUACUGGCGUAAGACCGAUAGCGAACAAGUACCGUGAGGGAAAGAUGAAAAGGACUUUGAAAAGAGGGUCAAAUAGUACGUGAAAUUGUUGAAAGGGAACCGUAUGAAAGUAGACUGGCUUGGUGAUGAUCAAUGUGUGUUUCGGCACGCAUGCACUCAUUGCCUUUGCCAGCCAGCGGCAGUUUUUGCUAAAGGAAGAAAAUCAGGGGAAUGUAGCUUCGAUUUCGGUUGAAGUGUUAUAGCUCCUGGUAAAAUACUUUGGCAGAGACUGAGGCUAGCAGCGGAUCUUUGGGAACUUUGCGCGCUUGUCGUCCAAUGGUUAAGUUUUCUUCGGAUGCUUGGUCAUUGGGUGGCAACUCGUGUGAUGCUUCACCCUUCCGCUUAGGUCGCU